CAGAAAAGCAUUAUGCAGCCAAUAAUAGCCUUUUAAUUGUCAACAGGUGCAAAGUAACUACUUAUUAUACCUAUUAUUUCCCUUUGUCUGAGGUUGCUCUGAAAAAGCACUAAGAAGAAAAAUGGAUGUGCACGUAACACAGAUAAGAGAAUUCUGUAGAUUCCGAGGCUGAUCAAAGUUUUCAGUAAAAGACCAGAGUUUUACAGGUAUCAAUUCUCAUCCCUAUGUGGUCACCUUGAGGAAGUUCUUACUCUCCCAGGAAAGUGUCUGUUUACAGUGGUACCUCAGGUUAAAUACUUAAUUCGUUCCGGAGGUCCGUACUUAACCUGAAACUGUCCUUAACCUGAAGCACCACUUUAGCUAAUGGGGCCUCCUGCUGCCGCACGAUUUCUGUUCUCAUCCUGAAGCAAAGUUCUUAACCCGAGGUACUAUUUCUGGGUUAGCGGAGUGUGUAACCUGAAGCGUAUGUAACCUGAAACGUAUGUAACCUGAGGUACCACUGUACAAGCCUGUAAUAACUUUUGAAUCUUCACUGCGUAAAGCUUUCUGUCAAUUAGAAUCUUCAGAAAUAUGCUUCUGGAGGUUUAUAGCAGGAGUAGUCAACGUGGUGCCCUCCAGCCAGCAUGGCUAAUGGUCAGGGGUGCUGGGAUUUGCAAAACAUCUGGAUGACACUGAGUUAGCUAACCCUGAUUUAGAGGGUGGUGUAUGUUUCUUCGUUUGUUUGUUUAAUUUGCUUUGCCCAGCACCCUUCAAGACUGAUUUCUCAGCUAGGCAAAAUAAAUGUGGGGAAGAGAACGCUCCAAUUAUUAAAUCACUGAGGGUAAUGAAUGCUCACAUAAUUUAAUUGGUGUUUCAAUGCAAGGGCCCAAUUUCGCUGCAGUGGUCUAAAUGUUUAAUAUCUGUGUCUUCAUGCCUGACAUUAACAGAUUAGCAACACCACAUCCAUUCACUACACAACACUUCUCCCAGUUUGUCUCAAGAAUAACUAUUGAGAAUAAAAGCAUUCAAAAAUGUUCAAGUGAAAACGAAAAGAAGCAUCUCGUAGCAACUGAGACCAGACUUCCAAAUCAGUUUCCAAUAUGGUUUCAGAUCCUGCAGAUUCCUCAUUUCCUUUUCAACGGUGUGUUCAACUUCUCUCUCUUUCUCUCCCCCCCCCCGCUUUCUUUGUUUUGUAAACCAUGAUUUGGUGUCACUACUGCUGCAAAUCACUAUCUACACCAGCACUGACAUGAAAUCCAGACUCUAAUAGCUUCUAAAUAAUUUAUAGGCUUCCAGAAUAUGUUCCUGCUGUGAAGCAAGGCAAGAGGCACUGUGAGGACUGAGACAACAUGGCGCUCUGCUUCUGAUUGCUGUACAAAACAAGGCACAUUCAUCUGAAAACAUAGAUGCAGAGAAGUCAAAGCAUGCAUCUGCAAGGGUGUGUCUGCUUGUCUUCUGCCAUGCUCGAAAUUAAGAAACAGCGCUUCCCUCCCACACAGAAACCUGUAUUUUUUAUUUAAGUCUCAGACAGUUUCACUGUUGCCCUAUCAGACAUGCAAAUGGCUAAGGAACCAGCAUGGCUCCAGGGCCAGACUGGACGUGACUAGAGACACAGAGCAGGAGCAACUAUAUCUUUCUAGGAACAUCUAGUUCUGCCUGAAAUUGGUGCAUCUAAGCUCAGCUGAAACAAGGAAGAGGUAAUGAAGAAUCAGUACAGAUACACAGUACACCCUCGUCUCCCCAUUAGGGUGAGCUCAUCCUUCUUUCUUUCAUUCACUGAAGUUGCUCAUAUUAGCCUUUAAACCUCUAAACCAUUUGGGACCAGAUUAUCUGCCUCCAUCCAUACAAGCCUGCUCAAGCUUAAAGUUCAGCAUCUGUGAUCCUGCUCUUGGUCCAUCAUUGAGAGCCGCCAGAUGAGAGAGAACAAGGCACAGGGCCUUUACUGUGGUGGCUCCACAUCUCUGGAAUAACCUCCCCAGACAAGUACAUAUGGCUUCAUGGCUUCCUCUUUGCAGGCUUUUAGGAAGACUUUAAAUACUUCUUUAUUUCAACCUGUAUUUGGUUAAUUUUAGUGAACUGUGCUUUUUAUUGAGUUUUUAUCUGCUGUUUGUCAUUUGUCAUUUAAUUAUGCCUGUAUUUUUUAAUAUAGUUUGGGGGGUAGUGGCUUGAUUAUUUGCGGAAGGAAGGAUGAACAAGGAUAGGCUUAUAAAUUAGUACAGAGAUGAAAAAGAAAUAAAUAAAACCACAUGCAAUGAGAACAUUGAUCUGGACGCAGCCUUGGGAAAACCUCCUCUUCCAAAGGCCUCUCUCCAUUAAUCACUGGAUAACAAACCAAGCGGACUUAGCAGGUAAUAGAAAUUCUGCAGGCGCUCUGCCAAACCAAAAAUCCUUUAAAACGUGCCUGGAUGAAGAAAGGUGGUACAUCCAAAACCAUCCUCAGAGGUUUGACAAGGUCUCAACUAGUUUCGUUCCCCAUUAAUGAUGAGCGCAGGGGAGGGGUUUAAUCAAAAACGGCUGGCUGGCUGGCUGUGAGGGACUUUCGUUCAUUUAUCUCGAAACGAUCUCUAUGCCUAGCAGGGUACUGUUGACAGAGCUGUGGCAAUGACUUGAGCACACAACUGCAGCCUGGUUCGUCCCCCUGCCUAGCCACGGCUGGUGAUGCAAAACAGCGUUGUCUCAACAAAAAGUAUUUUCUCAUCUGACUUUCCAGACAGACUAUCAACAACCGCAUAGACUGAAAAGCAGGCAGAAAGCCGGCCUUUAACUAAACACAAGAGAAAGUAUUGUGUUUAGAAGCACGUUUGCUUAUUCCUAAAGGAAGACAUGUCAGCUUUGAUUUACAUGAAUCAUGUCCUGCAGUCGGAAUAUUCUGACUAGUAAAAACUGAUCCAAGAAAGGGGGGGCAACACCCCACCUCACCCCACUAAGGAUGAUGGGACCUAGGUAUGCAUGUGUGAUGAUGGUUAAAAAUGACAAAGGAGACACAGACUGCCGUUUUUUAGUUUUCCUUACUGGCUGGGACUGAUGGAAAUUAUAGUUCGGAACAUCACCAGGUAUGCAAUGGCUGGACAAGACACUAUGGCCGCAUUUGCACCUCAUAUUGAAAGCACUAUUAUACCACUAACAGUCAGAAUAGUUUAACAGUCAAUCCCUCUUCCCAGCGAAUUCUGGGAACUAUAGCUCAGUGAGCAGAAUAGGGG